GCCUCUAUGGCACAGGGGUAAUGCGUCGCACUCGUAAUCCAACUACGAUGUAAUGCGAAGAUCCGCGGUUCGAUUCCGCGUGGAGGCA